GGAGGUGAACUGGCAGAAGCUUUCCUGAUCUGUUGCUGAUCCUUCUUACUCUGCUGCUGGGCCCCACCGAGAGUAUUACGGAAAAACUCUGCCGUGGGUUGUUUGUAUUUCCUCAUAGAACUUCGUCUGUCUUCCUGAUGGGUUCACCCACACUGAAACCUGAGUCUGGAUGUGCUCUCGGCAGUUUGAGAUGAAAGUUUCCCAGAUGAUCAUAUCCUGACGCCAUCUUCCAGAUCCCUCGUUGGAUCUGCAAAUGGGAGCUGCAUGAAAGAGGUCCGUGCUCCUGCGUUGGAGAAAACAAGCCACUCCCAGCAUUCGAGCCUGACAAAUACCAGCACCGGGGUCUACUAUAAUCAGAUGUCUUCCAGAUGUUAAUCGCUCCGCAUUUUUGCAGUUUCACGGUCACUCUCCUAUCUCUAGUUUAGAGAAGGAUAAGACUUUGGAAGAUCACUUAGUAGAUUUUCAUAAUGGAAAAGCUCUGGAAACAAACAUCUCAGAAGGCCUGGGUGUGUGUGGAUGUGUGUGAAGCUGAAGAGGGCCAACCAGUGAACGCGACUUUGUGUCUUCAGGAACCAUUGAUGGCAUAGCAUUGACAAGGCCUCCUCUUCUUCCUCCCGCUAUCGUUGAACUUGAAACUGGAAUUUUGCAAGUUAUAGAGGGAAUGACGAAGAGCAGGGCAGACUAGCAAUCAGUGGUAUUUAGUGAGAUCUUACUGAGUUCGGUGGACUGAACUAAGAGUUUGAAUGUGGACAGUCUAACAGAGUUGGAGGAGUUGGUGUCCUCUGCCCUUAGGGAGCAGUCUAGAGAAAACACGUUUUAGUCUGAUUUUCUGGGAGUUCAAACUGAGAGGUUUCCAAGUAAAGGUGCUUUUUUUUUUCUGCUUUUAUGGGCCUCCUUUCUUCCCCACCGCUCCCAGAAGGGGCUCCAAACCUCUCGCAGGCUCCCUGUGUCUGUCCAGAUCAAAGAAACUGUCAGUUUCAGGGUCCCCCCUAUUCCCCAACUCUCUGUCUUCAUUCCUCCCAACCCACAUCUCCAGCUCUCACAGCCUCUGGACUCCAACACUUGUGCUCCUUUAGUGACACUGUUGCCCCGCUGGCAACUUCAUCCCUCCCUCCCCACAUCAGACCAAUCACAGCUCACCCUUUUAGAAGCCCCACUCCUUCCAAAAGCCUUCCAUGCUUAACUGCCAACACCCUUAAUCACAUUCACCCAUUGGCUAUUCCUAGCAGGGAAUCACGGGGUUGUUGUGAAGGCAAAAACUAGAAGCGAUCUGAGACCUCCUGGGGAGAAAAAAAGUUAAACAAAAAACAAGUCC